rnacentral:rRNA from 1 species
UACAGAGGGUGCGAGCGUUGUUCGGAAUCAUUGGGCGUAAAGCGCUUGUAGGCGGCCUGAAAAGUCUCGUGUGAAAUCCCCUGGCUUAACCAGGGAAGUGCGCGAGAAACUUUUGGGCUUGAGUGCCGGAGAGGGUCGCGGAAUCCCGGUGUAGAGGUGAAAUUCGUAGAUAUCGGGAGGAACACCAGUGGCGAAGGCGGCGA